UUGAAGCUAUAGACGAUGAGAAGCUGUCAACCACCUUCAAAGUGAUUGAAGGAGAGAUCACCACGGAGUACAAGAAUUUCACAGCUAUCGUUCAGGCUACUCCCAAGGGAGAGGGCAGCUGCUUGGCUCACUGGACUUUUGAAUAUGAGAAGCUAAAUGAGAACGUUCCAGAUCCUCAAACGUUGCUUGAGUUUUGGAUCCAUUGCAGCAAAGACAUUGAGGAUCAUCACCUUACCCAGCUACCAACAGCACAGGCAUGAACGAUCGGUUAGUAUCAUAUGCGUGCAAGCUGCUGCUGCUGUCUUUAAUUUAAAAUGACUCCUCUCAUGAAUGAAUACUAAGAAGCGGGGUGCUGGGGACAGGCGUCUGUUCUUCUAUAUUAAUGUAUUUUAAUUUAUCAAUAAACUUGUGUACGUGGGGUCUACUGAAACUCUCUCUGCGUUGCUGUGCGAUUUGAUGUAAAAAGGGCUUUGUGUGAAGUUAAUGCAUGCUUCGAUGUGUGAUUCAAGAUGUUGAAAGUCUCUCCUCCUAUCAUUUUUUAUUCUUUUCAAUCAAGAUUUUUAUUCUUGCGAUUUCAACUAUUGACAGAGGAAAUCAAAUCCACAAGACCAACCGACUAUUUAGCAUAUAAAAUUAAAAAAAAAAAAUCAAUCUAUAUAAACCAGCUAAGCUCCUCUAACUCUGCCGUUUCAAUCAGUUGUUUAGAAGUGAAUAGUAGUUUUUAAAGUGAUUUUUUAUUUGAAAAUAUAUUAAAAUUAUUUUUUUAAAAUAUUUUUUAUAUUAGUAUAUUAAAAAUAUUAAAAAAUAAUUUAAAAUAAAAAAUAAAUCUUUUUAAAAAUACUUUUAAAACAUAAUAAAAAUCUCACGGUAUAUAAACAAAAUUCAAAUCUGAAAAGUCCAAAUCUUACAAUCACUCCCACAACUGCAAGUCCCAAAUACAAAUCCCUCGACCAUUUAUGUUGUAAAUUAUUGUGAAAGUGGAUGGAAAGUGACGAAUGUGACUUUCACGUGUGAUUGCUUGUAUCUUCUCUUUAUUUUUGUAAUCUAUUUGCUUUAUUUUCUGCUCUCUGUUUUUUUUUUUAAUUCCGUGAUAGGAACAUGAGAAUCUCGUACGAAUUUGGAUGGAUCUUAAUUUGAUUUCAUGAUGGAUUAAAUCGAAUUAAACAAUGUUUUAAGAUAAUUGAUGAAAGCUUUCUUUUUAUCCAGGAGUUAAUGAUGUUGGAACAAAUAGUUUGUAAAAUUGAACCCAAAGUCUAAAUAUAUUAUUUAUUUCUCAAUUAUACAUUUCGUGGAUAAUAAAGAAGCAGUGCUCGAUGUGCGGUAGCUAUGAUCUGUACUAAUGGUAAGAAAAUGCCAUUCUAUCUUUGCUUGAACAUCCCCAAUAAUCUUACGAGUCCGAUACCCUAUUAAUUAAUUAAAUGUUCUUAAAUUUAUAAUGGAGAUAAAACACAAACAGCACCACCUUUACAGCAAUCGGUUUUGAAUAAAUCCAAGGGCUAAGGUCACCGACAUACAAUGUUUUUUAAAAAAACAAAAAAAAAUAUUUUUUUAAUAUUUUUUUAAAUAAAAAAUACUUUAAAAAACAUAGAUCUUUUAGUAGGACAAUUAUAAAAAUAGAUCAUACUGUGGAAAUAUGGAAUAAUGUUUUUCAUGAUAUAGACUUGCAAAGAAAAUCAUAGGCAAAUGCCUCGUAGACUGGAUAAAUCCAGGUUCUACGAUCUUGAAACUGAACAUAAUCCAGAGAGAUAAAUUAUUAAUCACGGAUCGAUGUUGGAAUUUUUUGUUUAUAUCACAACCUGUACAUAUGAGCCUCAAAAGGUGGUGGACCGUCAUUCGAGUCGGCGAGGCAUCCGUCGCUUACCCAACAGUCUCCGCACGAGUCCACUUCCCAGCCUUCAAGUCGUCCCUCCGUGCACAGAGCCUCAAAUAGGUGGUGGAUCGUCAUUUUUUUGUUUAUAUCACAACCUGUACAUAUGAGCCUCAAAUAUUUGUGAUGAUUUUGAUUCUUGAGUAUAGGGCUUGCCAGCAUCCAGGAAAUAAUCGGUUCCUUGCUCAUCAACUACACCACCUCGGUCUACAUCAGUGUCAAAAACAAUUAAAAACCAAAAAAAUAAGUAAAAUAUAUUUAUUAAUUAUAUUUUAUGAAAUAAAAAUUAAUUCCACUUAAUAAAAGACUUCAAAUAUAAAUUGAAGAUUACUCGGGACUACUUAUCAGAAUUAAAUAAAAAAUAAUAAAAAAUAUUUCUUAAAUAUUUUUAAAAAUCUUUAUUUAUAAUUUUGCUUAAGGUCUUUAUUUACCUUAAGCCGACUCUGAUUCAAGUUGCAAUUAACAUAUAAGAAGUGGAUGAAGCGAUGAUUAAGUGUGUGUUCAGUUUGGUGAAGGAGGGUGAGUGGUGUGCUAUGAAAGUUUGAGUAUAUGGUUAUAUUAGAGUUUUAAUUUUUAGGCUUGCUAAAAGUAAAGGAAUAUCUUUCAUUUUAAUAUAUUUUAAAUUUUAUUCUUUUACUUUUUGGAUUUUAUUUAAUUUUUUUUCUUACUGUAAAGAAAAAAUAAAUUAAUAGAACUUUUGUUACAUUAUACAAAAAUUCAGUAAUAAUACUUUUUUUUAUUCGAGAUUGGAUUGAAUUUUUUUAUUAAAACAUGAUUAUUUUUGUGUUUUAAAAAUAUAUUUUUAAUAUUUUUUUAUUUAUUAUUUCAAAUUAAUACUUUUAUAUCAUUUUAAUAUAUUAAUAUAAAAAAUAAAUUUUAAAAAAUAAAAAAAAUAUUUAAAAAAACAAUUACUAUUUAAUAAUAAUAAUAAUAUAUAUAUAUAUACACGCGCGCGCAGCAAUAUUAUCUGAUACAUGAAGUUUGAUAUCAUCACCAGUGCACGAUUUUUUAUGCCCUUACAUCUCUGUCGCCAGAUACGGAGAUAAGUAUUAGUUAUUUAAAAUAUCAUUUAUUUUGAGGACAAGCUUGUCCCUCUGACUUAAAUGCCAUAGCUGCCCAAGUUGUUGUCAGCAAUUGAAUACUUUUUCUAGGGUAGAAAUCCUUGAUUUAAUAGUGUUGGGCUGCAUUCUUGUCAGGACAAGCACAUUGCAGUGGAUUUUUACUUCGACGGAGAUCAUGUUACCAAGAAGUAUUUGCAAGUGGAGUGUAUAUCUUUUGUGAUGGACGGUAGAUAUGAUGUUUAAGAAAAAAUGGCGACGUGGACGAUGAAUACCCACGUCCACGUCUUUAUAAGGAUAAGAUCCCAAAGCAUUUUCCCGACAACUGCUAUAAUUGAUUACAAAUUGAUGUCAUAGUCUAACAAAGAAUGGGUAUUAAUUAUUAAAAGAGCUUGUUCAACAAUCACAAGACAUAUCUAAGCAAUUAGGUGGACUUGGUUGGCAAAGAUACAAGGAAAUAUUCAAAUAUAUUAAAAAUUAUAAUUACUUAGUUAUUAUUAUAAAUUGAAUAAGAUAGCAAUAUCUUGAUCGAUUCAUUAAACUUUUUUUAUUAAAAUAGUUUAGUUCUUAUUGGCCGAGCUACUUGAAUAAACCAAAAAACUUUUAUUUUAUUUUAUUCAGAUCCAAUUACUAUGCAAUUCAAUCUUUUUUUCAUUCAAUGAAUUAACUUUCCAGCUCCACGCUUUAAUUCUCGGGUUUGUUAUAUCUUUCUGACAAGAAUUAGACUGCAGACAUUUCAGUUAACAUGCCCUUGAAAUCUUAUUGGAUUGAGGAGCGAAUUUUAUUAUAACAAAAUGGCCACAUUUCAAAAAUAGUAAGCAGAGUAAGAGAAUCAUCUAUGUAUUUAUCCAUAAAUGAUACAAAAAAUAUAAAAAAAAGGGAGGCGGGGGAGAGAAACCCGCAAGAAAACCAACUAGAUAGAAUUAAAUAUAGAAAACCCUAAAUAAUGGAGGUCAAUAAUUGAUCUCUUCAUUUACUAGUCUAGGUGUAUAGUUAUCCCACGUCUUUAUAAGGACAAGAUCCCAAAGCAUUUUCCGUACAACUGCUAUAAUUGAUUUUGUUUUCUCAAAGCUUACACUGUUUAUAGUUUGAUUACCUGCGCAGCAAAAUGACACUCUUCGGUAAGAUGGAGGCUGAAGUAGAGAUCAAAGUUUCUGCGGAAACAUUUCAUGAUAUCUUCAGCUGCAGACCACACCACAUUUCCAAUAUGAGCCCUGCCAAGAUACAGAACGUUGAUCUCCAUGAAGGUGAAUGGGGGAAGCCGGGCACUGUAAUCUGCUGGAGUUAUGUACAUGGUAAGGCUGUGUCGUCAUAGAUCAUCCCUGACCGAAAACAUAUAUAUUAAGGAUUGCACUGCUCCUUAAUCAUAUAUAUAUAUAUAUAAAUAUAUGAUUACUAACAAUAAGUUUACAUCAUAAUUAGUCUACAAUUUUGUUUAUUUCUUAGAUGGCUUAUAGCAUGAGGAAGUGACUUGGGUUAUUUUUGUAUACGCUCGAUUUGAUCAUUAAUUCUCGAUCAGCUAUGAUCAAUCCAUUGUUGUAGAAAUUUUAUGACUUUCUGGUUGAUGAAAGGUUAACCUCAUAUACAUUUUCAGAAACAAAUUAUUAUUAAGAGUAGGAUGACAUAUCAAGGCAGUGAUUCAUGACUGACGUUUAAUUUAUUUUUUAUGCAAAAAAAUUAAUAGAUGGGGUUGCGAAGACUGCGAAGGAGGUUAUUGAAGCUAUAGACGAUGAGAAGCUGUCAACUACCUUCAAAGUGAUUGAAGGAGAAUUUCAUAAUUCUUUCACCUUGUCAAUCACAAGUCGGAAUCUUCAUUUGCCCCUUGAAAAAAGCUCACGCUAUCUCAUCUAAAUUAUUUGACGUCCCUUCGUUAAGAUAAGGUCUUAGAAAAGAAUGGAGGGCUGAUAAUUACAAAGUCUAGGCCUAGUAAUUACGAAGUCCUCUUUUUUAUUGCCAUCCCUGCACCAAUCAUAUCAUUCAAUAGCAUACCCAAGUGGUUGACGGUUUUAUUCUCUGAAUCAACAUGAAAGAUUGUUAAGUUAUUGUGCUCUCCUUUUCUUCCGAGCUCUAAUACUAAUGGUUAGAAAAUUAAAAUACACAAGUUUCUGAACCUAUAAUGGUUGAAAACUAAAACACACUAGUAUUUGAACUCCCAAGCUUUUAUUUAUUGAUAUUCAAUCCUCUUGAAUUUCGCAUACAUUAAUCGACCCAUAUAUUUACAAAUAGAUUGUAACAUCUUGCUAUCAUAAUCUAAUAAAUUUAUAAUUAACUAGUUAAACAAAGAUUAUGAAUACAAAUCAUGUUUAAUCUAGGGAACCGUUUCUCAUCUCGAUAAAAAACAUUGCACAUUUUGAAGGGUUCUAUCCGAAUUGUACCCUCUUUUUUAUUCUUUGCAAGAUAUGAUGUUGUUUAGAAAACUUAACGUUUUCUAUAUAAAAAAAAAAUCUGGUAGGUUUCAAUUGAAAAAUCAAAAUUGUUUGGAGAUAAAUUAAUACAAAAAAUCGUUUGAGGACAAAAUUGAUGCCAAGGGGCAUUUUUAAGGUUUGCGCUUUUUUUUUUUUUGUGUGUGAAUGUCAAGUUCAGGUUAACUGGAGUGCUGUUUUCUUGACUGCAAAACAGAACCAAUCAACGACGCAGCUAAUUCUGAAGAUCAAAGUAAAUGGAGGAAUAGCAAGUACAUAACCAUGAUCAAUUUCCGAGAUCGUUAAAUGGUCUUUGAAUUUCAGAGAUAAGAAAUUAUCUUUAAGCUCUUGGAAUUUAAUGUUUUUUUUUUUUUUUUUACAUUAGUCCGUAUGUCUUGAAGCCAACACAAUAAUCCCUAGAGUCUUACUGCGUGGUUAAAUUAACAGGUCCCAACGUGGCCUGUAGUUUGACUCUCUCUCUUGUUUCUUCAGCUAAAUAUAUGUGCUUAAUUAGCACUAAAACCAGACCUAGGAACGCAAUCGUAUUUCGAUGAAAAAGAAGACGAGAUCUGAAUGAUUCGGCAGAAGAUUUCACUCGAAAGCUUUUGUAUUACAUUCAAAAUACAUCAUUAAUUUGAUUACUUGGUCGUAGUUAAGGCAACAAUCAAGGAUUUAUAACAAUUAUGAUCCUAAGAUUAGCUUUUUACCUUAAAGAAGCGAAUAGCAUCAUUAUUCACUUCAUAGCAAAUCAUUUUUAAGUGAUCGUAAAGGACAUUUAUUAAUUAUUUCAUGAAAUUAACCCGUGUUUUUUCUUUUCUUUUCUAAUUUAACUCAUUCUCCCACAUACCAGUUAUUAAUAAUACUUUCGUCGUACUAAAUUCAUCAUCAAAUUCUCUCAUCCAUGCGAAGAACUAAUCUUGAAGCCUCCAUUGUAGGAUCUUUAAAUCACAAAAGAAAUUAUAAUUGCCGGGAAAAACAGAACUUUAAAUGGUGGGAUAUUAGUUAUAUCGCCACUAUCAUUGUCACUCUCUAUACAGACCAUCAAUAUAUUGGCCACUUAUUAUUUCCUUUUUGUUUUCUAUAUGAUCUAUCACAUUAAAUUAUCACAAUAUAUCUUGGAUUUGGCAAAUCCUAGUGACAGUGACAUUAUAGUGACAGUGACAUUAAAUUAUCACGAGCCUUGCAUUUUUUGCAUGAGCUGUACAAUAUCGAUUAUAAUAAGUUUGAAGAUUUUUCUUUAAAAAAAUCUAUUUGGUAGGGAUUGCAUGGAUUUUACAUGUUUUUUUAUUGGAGAUGAAUUCGCUGAGAAAGGAACACGGUAAUGGAAUAGAUAGACGGAAAAUUGCAAACGUUUUGCACGUUUGUUGAAAUUUUGGAAGUUUCUUGAGACUCUACUCGGCUUCAAAAUCUUGAUGAGUUCUUGUUGGAUAAUAUAUCAGCCUUUGAUGAUUCAUAUGAUUUUCUAAAUAAAAAAAUGACUCAAAUGAAAAUAAAAAGAAAAAUAAUAUAUUAAAUUUGUGGGGAUGUAACUAAUUUUUUUUUAAAAAAACAUAGUUUAUUAAGGAUACUAAGAGCGCAACACUCGAUAAAAAGGAAAACCUAACGAAUGCUCCAAUGUUAAUUAUUAAUCCCAACUACUUUUCAAUGCUUAAUAUUCUAUUCAAUUUUCUGUUGAAGAUAAUGCAUUCCAAUUAUUUUCGAGUAUUACUAUUACCCACACAAAAUCAACGGAAAUGACAGGCACGCAAAAUAUGUCUUGUAAUCUACCAACUCCAUUGCUAAUUCACAAAUCAAAACAGUUACAGAACACAUGCAAGCCAGCUGUAAGCAGAAACUGAGUGGCUAGCACACAAAGACAAGUCAGCCAAAUACUAUUUUACCGGCUUUGUUGACUUUUUAUAAAUUUCUUAACAGUUAAAAUACUUUUUUUUCUUCCCCAAAAUCAAAAGUUUAUUGGGCUACUGGUCAGAGAUGUUAUGAUUCAUGUACAGUGGAAGCAUGCUUUUAACCUUAGAAAAGAUAUAUAAACAAUAAACUGGUUUUGUGGAUAUUUUUGUAUUUUUAUACAGAUAUUUUAUGUAAUUAAUAUAUUUGUAGCAUUUUAGUAUUUUUAUAUUUUAUUUUUAUUUUUUAUUCAUAAAUAUGUUAGAGCGUGUUUCAAACACAUUAGUAAAUUAGUAAAUAAAUGAUGUUCUAGCCAUUUAAGGUGCGUGUGACACCAUUCGAUAGUUAAAUUUAACUAUUCACUAUCUCACUGUAUACAUAAUUAUCUUCUUUUUUAUAUAAUGUGGCAUAUUUAGGCGUGUGAUGGUUGAAUUAUAGCAGGUGGUUGUUUGUUUUUUUUCUCUCUCUCUAUCUCUUGAUAACUAAUGUAUAUCAUUGUUCUUUUUGUUAUUUAAUUUUCAAUUUUAAUCAUUAUUUUUUUAAUUUUUAAUUUUGUUUUUAUUCUUUUUAUAUAAGUUUUUUUUCUUUCAAUCUAGUCAUUCAAUUACAAUUUCUCAUGUGUUUUGUUUUUCAUUUCAAUCCUCAUUCUUUUAAUUUCUUAUUUUUAUUUAUUUUAUAAUUUUUUUUUAAAAUUUAGUCCUUCAAUUAUAAUUUAUGUAUAUUAUAUUUUUCAUUUCAGUCAUUCUACUUUUAAAUUUAUGGUUUUUAAUUUUAUUUUUCAAACCAAGUUUAUGAUUUUUGUUGUUUCAAUAAUAAUAAUAAUGGUUACAAUGAUAAUAAUACUAAUAAUAAAAAUAAUAAUAAUAAUUAUUAAUGAUAGUAAUAAUAGUAGUAAUUAUAAUAAUAACGAUAAAACAGUAAUAAUUAUAAUAAUAAUGAUGAUAAUUCAUCAUUCGAUGUAAAAUUUGUUUAGAAUUGAGUUUUAUUAUUUUUUCGUGCAUGAUAGUUUCAAUCUAAUAUCUCGAGCUACUGUUUUAAAAAGUUUGUGUAGCUUGAUGUUCUCUUUUAUUUUUUAUAUUUUUUUAAUUUAUCGUUUAACGUUAGCUUUUUAAAAUAAAAAAAGGUCUUCUAAAAUUCUUUUAUAUAUUUUAUUGGAAACCCGUGCAAGGUAAAAGAUCCAAAAUAAAAGAUUUAAAAGUUUAUCUUGCAUUGCAUAAUAAUUAUUUUACUCUUGAUAAUUGUAUUUUUUUUUUUACGUUUUAAAACAAUGGUUCAGCCAGCAGCAAAUCACUAGAACGUAAAAUAGUAUUACAUCAUUUUUUUAGUUAUACCCUUUUUGCAGUUUGCACGGUCAAGGCGUCAGACCUCGUUAAAAGCACUCAAAACCCACCCUUUUUACUGUAUUCCACGUCAAAUUAGUCUCAACAUUGAGAGAAUUAUUUGAAACAUUAGCCAAUUUAUCUUUGUUUCCCUCUUCAAGUUUUAUCAAAAAUUGAAUUAGGGUGGUUCCAGUUAGAGCCGGCCAGGGCAUAUAGGUAAUUUAGGUAAUGGUUCAAUACCCUCACUUAACAAAAAAAUCCCUCAAGAAUAAGUGAAAUAUAUUUAUUAAUUAUAUUUUAUGAAAUAAAAAUUACCUCAACUUAACAAAAGACUCUAAUAUAUAAAAUGAAGAUUUCUCAAUUCCCUACUUGUCAGAUAUACAUAAAAAAAAUAUAUCUUAAAAUUUUAAAAAGUUUUAUUUAUAAUUUUGCCUGAUAUCCAUAUUCACCUUAAAUCGAUUCUAAUUUAAGUUACGAUGGACAUAGAAGGAAUGGAUAAAGUGGUGUUCAAGUAUGUGUUCGGAAUGGUGCAGGAGAGAGAACAUGGGUCAUGAAAGUUUCGAGUCAUUGGUUAUAAUGAUAGAUUUCUAAUUUUUAGGCUUGCUUUUAAAGUAAAAGAAUAUUUUUCUCUUUAAAUUUUUUUCCUUUUAAAAUAUUUUUAAUUUUAUUUUUCUUCUUAUGCUUGUUUCAAUAUUUUAUGCUUGUUUCUAGAUAGGGAGAUCAAAUAAAUUUCUAAUUAUUAUUAGUUAUUUAAAAUAUCAUUUAUUUUGUGGACAAGCUUGUCCCUCUAACUUAAAUGCCAUACCUGCACAUAUAAUUUCGCAAUAAAUUAUUGCCGACUCCUAUUAAUUAUUUAAACUUCUCAAUUGUUUCCCCUGUUGUCUUCAAGCUGCAUGUAUAGGCCAUAAAACAUAAUGUACUUGUUCCUACUAAUUGACUGUACUUGUUCCUACUAAUUGACCUCUCACUGAACUCCAAUUUCGUGUUAUAUAAGCUGUACUAUUUUCUAUGUAUAAAUAAAAUUCAAGUUCAAGAAUUUUGAAUAAUAAUUGAAAUAUUAAUAUCCAUUGAGCUACAGCCUAUUGACGUAUCUCUGCUGUGUCAAUUUAUUAGUGUUGGGCUGCAUUCGUGCCAAACAUGCAAAUCGACAAAGCACACAUGCAUGAUUUCCACAAAGACGGUGUAAAAUCAUGAUUUUUUUUUCAUAUCAUCUUAAAUUGACAUUUUGAUGUAGGAUAUGUAUAAUAUAUUUAGAAAAUAAAUAAAUUAUAUUUUAAUACUUCACUUAACAAUUUAAGUUUUUGAAUUGAAUUAAUUUUUUAAUAAAUUAUUGAAACCUUGAUAAUCAAACAGUCACGAGUUUAAAUUUUACCAUAUUUAUUUAUUAGAUAAAAAUUAAACACAAAAUAAUAUGAAUUUAUUCAAGUUUUAAAUCAAAAUAAUAUAACAACGUUGGGUCUAUUACCAUGCCAAACCCUGGCAUAGAAAGCAAUGCUUCCAGCAACAAUGUUUGACCAAAAACACAACUAAGAAACGGCUUCCAGGUUGCUACAAUGUUGUCGACGUUGAAAGUAAUUUAUGCCUACAAUACCGUCUACAGUAUAAUGUGUUUAUGACACGCACAAGGCAACACCCUCAACCACAAAUCUUGAUUAAAAACAUAGUAGAGAAAUGCUCAUUUCUGGCGCUAUAAUGUUGUUCAUAGUACAAAUAUUUUAAGUCUAUAAUAUCAUUCAUAUUGCGAAAGCAAAUAUACAAGUACACAAUUAAAUGUCUGUUGAUGUAUGAUGCAUGUACAGUAGAAAUCCCACAACAAUGCAAAAGUAACAGUACAAGUUCACAAUUAACUGGCUCUUGAUGUACAGUAUAUGCAUAUACAAUAAAAUUAAUUGUGUUUUUUGUUCACAGUGCAUUUAUGAAUAGUAGAAAUCUAAAAUAUCUUAGAGUUUUGUGAAUGUAAUUAUCCCACGUAGGGAAAGAAUUGAUCUCAUCAUUUACUAGUCUAGGUGUAUAAUUAUCCCACGUCUUUAUAAGGAUAUGAUCCCAAAGCAUUUUUGAUAUCUCAAAGCUUACCUGUUUAUAGUUUGAUUACCUGCGCAGCAAAAUGACACUCUUCGGUAAGAUGGAGGCUGAAGUAGAGGUCAAAGUUUCUGCUGAAACAUUUCAUGAUAUCUUCAGCUGCAGACCACACCACAUUUCCAAUAUGAGCCCUGCCAAGAUACAGAAUGUUGAUCUCCACGAAGGUGAAUGGGGGAAGCCGGGCACUGUAAUCUGCUGGAGUUAUGUACAUGGUAAGGCGGUGUCGUCAAAGAUCAUCCCUGGCCAAAAAAAUACUAAGGAUUGCAGUGCUCAUGCUACUUAAUAUUCAUGUAUAGUGAGGCUGUGUCUUCUUGGUUUUGAUCAUAUAUAUCUUCAUGAUCUAUAGUUCUGUCUUCAUCCAUUGUUUUAGAAAUUUUAUGACUUUCUGGUUGAUGAAAGGUUAACCUCAUUUACAUUUUCAGAAACAAAUUAUUAUAAAGAGUAGCAUGACAUGUCAAGGCAGUGAUUCAUGAGUACUGACAUUUAAUUUAAUUUUUAUGCAAAAUAAAUUAAUAGAUGGGGUUGCUAAGACUGCGAAGGAGGUUAUUGAAGCUAUAGACGACGAGAAGCUGUCAACCACCUUCAAAGUGAUUGAGGGAGACAUGAUGACCACGGAGUACAAGAGUUUCACGGCUAUCGUUCAGGCUACUCCCAAGGGAGAGGGCAGCUGCUUGUCUCACUGGACUUUUGAAUAUGAGAAGCUAAAUGAGAACGUUCCAGACCCUCAAACGCUGCUUGAGUUUUGGAUCCAUUGCCUCAAAGACAUUGAGGAUCAUCACCUUACCCAGCUACCAACAGCACAGGCAUGAAUGAUCGGUUAGUAUCAUAUGCGUGCAUGCUGCUGCUGCUGUCUUUAAUUUAAAACGUACGACCGCCGGCGUGAAUGAAUAAUAAGAAGCGGUGUGGUGGGGACAGGCCCUUGUUCUUCUAUAUUAAUGUAUGUUAGUAUGUUAAUCUAUCAAUAAACUUGUGUACGUGGGGUCUACUGAAACUCUCUCUGCGUUGCCGUGUGAUUUCAUGUAAAAAGGGCUUUGUGUGAAGUUAAUGCAUGCUUCGAUGUGUGAUUCAAGAUGUUGAAAGUCUCUCCUCCUAUCAUUUUUUAUUCUUUUCAAAAUCAAGAUCGAUUGACAGACGAAAUCAAAUCCACAAGGCCAACCGACUUUUUAGCGUAUAAAAUUAAAAAAAAUCAAUCUAUAUAAACCAGCUAAGAACCUCCUUUGCUUGUGCCCUCAUGAAACCUUACUCUGCCGUUUCAAUCAGUUGUUUAGAAGUGGAAUAGUAGUUUUUAAAGUGAUUUUUAAUUUGAAAAUAUAUUAAAAUAAUAUUUUAUUAUUUUUUAAAAUAUUAUUUUUUAUAUUAGUAUAUUAGAACGUUUAAAAAUAUUAAAAAAUAAUUUAAAAUAAAAAAUAAAUAUUUUAAAAAAUACUUUUAAAACAUAAUAAAAAUCUCUCGAUAUAUAAAUACAAUUCAAAUCUGAAAAGUCCAAAUCUUACAAUCACUCCCACCGACUGCGAGUCCCAAAUACAAAUCCCUCGACCAUUAAAUUAUUGUGAAAGUGGAUGGAUGUGACUUUCACGUGUGAUUGCUUGCAUCUUCUCUUUAUUUUUGUAAUCUAUUUGCUUUAUUUUCUACUCUCUGUUUUUUUUUAAUUCCGUGAUCGGAACAUGAGAAUCCCGUACGAAAUUGGAUGGAUCUUAAUUUGAUUUCAUGAUGGAUUAAAUCGAAUUAAACAAUGUUUUAAGAUAAUUGAUGAAAACUUUCUUUUUAUCCAGGAAUUAAUGAUGUGGGGACAAAUAGUUUGUAAAAUUGAACCCAAAGUCUAAAUAUAUUAUUUAUUUCUCAAUUAUACAUUUCGUGGAUAAUAAAGAAGCAGUGCUCGAUGUGCGGUAGCUAUGAUCUGUACUAAUGGUAAGAAAAUGCCAUUCUAUCUUUGCUUGAACAUCCCCAAUUAUCUUACGUAUCCGAUACCCUAUUAAUUAAUUAAAUGUUCUUAAAUUUAUAAUCGAGAUAAAACACAAACAGCACCACCUUUACAGCAAUCGGUUUGAAUAAAUCCAAGGGCUAAGGUCACGCUACAUACACUUUUGAAAAAAAAUAAUACUUUAAAAAUAAUAAUAAUAAAUAUUUUUUUAAACAAAAAAUACUUUAAAAAAUAACUAUUUACACUCCUAAACAUCUCACAAUGUAAUGUAUAACUUUUAGUAGGAUAAUUAUAAAAAUACAUCAUACUGUAGAAAUAUGUAAUAAUGUUUUUCAUGAUAUAGACUUGCAAAGAAAAUAAUAGGCAAAUGCCUCGUAGACUGGAUAAAUCCAGGUUCUACGAUCUUGAAACUGAACAUAAUCCAGAGAUAAAUUAUUAAUCACGGAUCGAUGUUGGAAUCAUCAUUUUUUUAAUUUAUAUCACAACCUGUACAUAUGAGCCUCAAAAGGUGGUGGACCGCCAUUCGAGUCGGCGAGGCAUCCGUCGCUUACCCAACAGUCUCCGCACGAGUCCACUUCCCAGCCUUCAAGUCGUCCCUCCUGUGCACAUGAGCCUCAAAUAGGUGGUGGAUCGUCAUUUUUUUUUUAUAUCACAACCUGUACAUGUGAGCCUCAAAUAUUUGUGAUGAUUUUGAUUCUUGAGUACAGGGCUUACCAGAAUCCAGGAAAUAACCGGUUCCUUGCUCAUCAACGACACCACUUCGGUCUACAUCAGUGCCAAAAACAAUUAAAAACCUCAACAAUAAGUAAAAUAUAUUUAUUAAUUAUAAUUUAUGAAAUAAAAAUUACUUCCACUUAACAAAAGAAUUCAAAUAUAAAUUGAAGAUUACUCAGGACUCUACUUAUCAGAAUUAUAUAAAAAAUAAUAAAAUUAUUUCUUAAAUAUUUUAAAAAAUCAUUAUUUAUAAUCUUGCUUAAGGUAUUUAUUUACCUUAAGCCGACUCUGAUUCAAGUUGCAAUGGACAUAAAAGGAGUGAAUGAAAUGAUAGUCAAGUGUGUGUUCAGUUUGGGGAAGGAGGGUGGGUGGUGGGCUAUGAAAGUUUGAGUAUAUGGUUAUAAUAUCAGAGUUUUAAUUUUUAGGCUUGCUCAAAGUAAAGGAAUAUCUUUCAUUUUAAUAUAUUUUAAAUUUUAGUUUUUUUUUCAUUAAAAAGAAAAUAAAUUACUAGGACUUUUGUUAUGUUAUGUUGUACAGAAGUUGAGUGAUGGCUUUUUUUUUUUUUUUUGCUAUUUGAGAUUGAAUUGAAUUGUUUUUAUUAAAACAUGAUUGUUUUUGCAUUUUAAAAAUAUUUUUGAAAAUAUAUUUAUUUAUUUUUUAUUUUAAAUUAAUAUUUUUUGAUAUUUUUAUAUUAUUUUAAUGUACUAAUAUAAAAAAUAAAUUUUAAAAAAUAAAAAAUAUAUAUUUUAAAAAACAAUCUGUACUUAAUAAUCUACAUCUGAGACUUUUGUUAUUUUGUUCAAAAGUUCAUACGUGUGUGUCUAUAUACAUACGUGAUAUAUAUAUACGCGCGCGCGCGCGCGUAGCAAUAUUAUCUGAUACAUGAAAAGUUUGAUAUCAUCACCAGUGCACGAUUUUUUAUGCCCUUACAUCUCUCUCUCGCCAGAUACGGAGAUUAUUAUUAGUUAUUUAAAAGAUCAUUUAUUUUGUGGACAAGCUUAUCCCCUCUUACUUAAAUGCCAAACCUGCCCAAGUUGUCGUCAGUAAUUGAAUACUUUUUCUAGGGUAGAAAUCCUUGAUUUAAUAAAUUCAAAUACCUUGUCAUCGGUAAUUUAGUGUUGGGCUACAUUCUUGUCAGGACAAGCACAUUGCAGUGGAUUUUUACUUCGACGGAGAUCAUGUUACCAAGAAGUAUUUGCAAGUGGAGUGCAUAUCUUUUGUGAUGGAUGGUAGAUAUGAUGUUUAAGAAAAAAUGGCGACGUGGACGAUGAAUACCCACGUCUUUAAAAGGAUAAAAUCCCAAAGCAUUUUCCCGACAACUGCUAUAAUUAGUGACAAAUUGAUGUCAUAUUCUAACGAACAGUGGGUAUUAAAAGAGCUUGUUCAACAAUCACAAGACAUAUCUAAGCAAUUAGGUGGACUUGGUUGGCAAAGAUACAAGGAAAUAUUCAAAUAUAUUAAAAAUUCUAAUUACUUAGUUAUUAUUAUAAAUUGAAUAAGAUAGCAAUAUUUUGAUGGAUUCAUUAAUUUUUUUUUAUUAAAAUAGUUUAGUUCUUAUUGGCCGAGCUACCUUGAAUAAACCAAAAAACUUUAUUUUAUUUUAUUCAGAUCCAAUUACUAUGUAAUUCGAUCUUUUUUCCAUUCAAUGAAAGUUUCCAGCUCCACGCUUUAAUUCUCGGGUUUGUUAUAUCUUUCUGACAAGAAUUAGACUGCAGACAUUUCAGUUAACAUGCCCUUAAAAUCUUAUUGGAUUGAGGAGCGAAUUUUAUUAUAACAAAAUGGCCACAUUUCAAAAAUAGUAAGAAUCAUCUAUGUAUUUAUGCAUAAAUGAUACAAAAAAUAUAAAAAAAGGGAGGCGGGGGAGAGAAACCCGCAAGAAAACCAACUAGAUAGAAUUAAAUAUAGAAAACCCUAAAUAAUGUAGGUCAAUAAUUGAUCUCUUCAUUUACUAGUCUAGGUGUAUAGUUAUCCCACGUCUUUAUAAGGACAAGAUCCCAAAGCAUUUUCCGUACAACUGCUAUAAUUGAUUUUGUUUUCUCAAAGCUUACACUGUUUAUAGUUUGAUUACCUACGCAGCAAAAUGACACUCUUCGGUAAGAUGGAGGCUGAAGUAGAGAUCAAGGUUUCUGCUGAAACAUUUCAUGAUAUCUUCAGCUGCAGACCACACCACAUUUCCAAUAUGAGCCCUGCCAAGAUACAGAACGUUGAUCUCCAUGAAGGUGAAUGGGGGAAGCCGGGCACUGUAAUCUGCUGGAGUUAUGUACAUGGUAAGGCUGUGACGUCAUAGAUCAUCCCUGACCGAAAACAUAUUAUGGAUUGCACUGCUCCUUAAUCAUAUAUAUAUAUAUAUAUGAUUACUAACCAUAAGUUUACAUCAUAAUUAGUCUACAAUUUUGUUUAUUUCUUAGAUGGCUUAUAGCAUGAGGAAGUGACUUGGGUUAUUUUUGUAUACGCUCGAUUUGAUCAUUAAUUCUAGAUCAGCUAUGAUCAAUCCAUUGCUGUAGAAAUUUUAUGACUUUCUGGUUGAUGAAAGGUUAACCUCAUAUACAUUUUCAGAAACAAAUUAUUAUAAAGAGUAGCAUGACAUGUCAAGGCAGUGAUUCAUGAGUACUGACAUUUAAUUUAUUUUUUAUGUAAAAAACAUUAAUAGAUGGGGUCGCGAAGACUGCGAAGGAGGUUAUUGAAGCUAUAGACGAUGAGAAGCUGUCAACCACCUUCAAAGUGAUUGAAGGAGAAAUCACCACGGAGUACAAGAACUUCAUAAUUAUCGUUCAAGCUACUCCCAAGGGAGAGGGCAGCUGCUUGGUUCACUGGACUUUUGAAUAUGAGAAGCUAAAUGAGAACGUUCCAGAUCCUCAAACGUUGCUUGAGUUUUGCAUCCAUUGCAGCAAAGAAAUUGAGGAUCAUCACCUUACCCAGCUACCAAUAGCACAGGCAUGAAUGAUCGGUUAGUAUCAUAUGCGUGCAUGCUGCUGCUGCUGUCUUUAAUUUAAAAUGACUCCUCUCAUGAAUGAAUAAUAAGAAGCUGUGUGGUGGAGACAGACGCCUGUUCUUCU
rnacentral:lncRNA from 1 species